UCUCUUGUGGCUUAGCUGGUAAAGAAUCCACCUGCAAUGUGGGAGACCUGGGUUCGAUCCCUGGGUUGAGAA
rnacentral:tRNA from 1 species